AACAACGUGAGGGUGAGUAAAUGAUGACAGAAUUUCAUUUGUGCGGGAACUGUCCCUUUAAAUUAGUCGCAUGGCCUUCACAUACCUUCAACAUAAAGAGCGGGCAACAAUUAGUCUUACUAACUAGCACAGCGCUGAAACGACACUGGAAAACCUUUGACACUCAUUUCACAUGAAGGGGGAUGAUUUACCUCCUGUAAUGACAGACACUGAAGAAUGAAAUUGUUUUACUGUUUGGUUUUCUCGGAGCACACUGGACAUUUUUGAAAGAAAGAUUUAUUAAAAUGUUAGAACAUUAAUUAGCAACUCAAAUGUGUGAAAAGGUCAUUUGUACAUUAUGUAUAUAGAGGCGGAUUUAUUCAGGAUUUUCUUACA